ACUCCUACGGGAGGCAGCAGUGGGGAAUAUUGCAGCAAUGGGCGCAAGCCUGAUGCAGCCAUGCCGCGUGUGUGAAGAAGGCCUUCGGGUUGUAAAGCACUUUCAGUUGUGAGGAAAGGUUAGUUCGCUAAUAUCGGCUAGCUGUGACGUUUAGCAACAGAAGAAGCACCGGCUAACUCCGUGCCAGCAGCCGCGGUAAUACGGAGGGUGCGAGCGUUAAUCGGAAUUACUGGGCGUAAAGCGCGUGUAGGUGGCUUGUUAAGCCAGAUGUGAAAGCCCGGGCUCAACCUGGGAACUGCAUUUGGAACUGGCAGGCGUAGAGUUUUGUAGAGGGUGGUAGAAUUUCAGGUGUAGCGGUGAAAUGCGUAGAGAUCUGAAGGAAUACCGGUGGCGAAGGCGACCACCUGGCCAAUAACUGACACUGAGACGCGAAGGCGUGGGUAGCAAACGGGAUUAGAUACCCUGGUAGCUCGAUGU
rnacentral:rRNA from 1 species